GGAGGGUUGAGAUCUCACAAACAUGUUUAACCCCGCCGCAUUUUUGCGCCUGUCCCAAGUCAGGAGCCUCUGGCCUUUGUUAGUCUUGUAUUAUUUUAAUUUUAGUUUCUUGUGUACAAUUUGGAAAUUAGUAUGGCGUUCAUUAUCACUGGACUAGUAUAUAUUUUUUUAGGGGCCAGCUGAAGGACGCCUCCGGGUGCGGGAAUUUCUCGCUACAUUGAAGACCUGUUGGUGACCCUCUGCUGUUUUUUUUUAUUUGGUCGGGUUGUUGUCUCUUUGACACAUUCCCCAUUUCCAUUCUCAAUUUUAU
rnacentral:lncRNA from 1 species